rnacentral:rRNA from 1 species
UGAGGAAUAUUGGUCAAUGGACGCAAGUCUGAACCAGCCAUGCCGCGUGAAGGAUGAAGGCGUUCUGCGUUGUAAACUUCUUUUAUCUGGGAAGAAACCUACGAUUUCUAUUGUAGCCGACGGUACCAGAGGAAUAAGCACCGGCUAACUCCGUGCCAGCAGCCGCGGUAAUACGGAGGGUGCAAGCGUUAUCCGGAUUCACUGGGUUUAAAGGGUGUGUAGGCGGGUAUUUAAGUCAGUGGUGAAAUCUCCAGGCUCAACCUGGAAACUGCCAUUGAUACUAUUUAUCUUGAAUUCUGUUGAGGUAGGCGGAAUAUAUCAUGUAGCGGUGAAAUGCUUAGAUAUGAUAUAGAACACCGAUUGCGAAGGCAGCUUACUAAGCAGAUAUUGACGCUGAGGCACGAAAGCGUGGGGAUCAAACAGG